rnacentral:rRNA from 1 species
UACAGGGGGUGGAAACGUUGCUCGGAAUCAUUGGGCGUAAAGCGCACGUAGGCGGUCUGUUAUGUCGGAUGUGAAAGCCCUUGGCUCAACUGAGGAAGUGCAUCCGAAACUGGCAGGCUAGAGUACGAAAGAGGAUCGCGGAAUUCCCGGUGUAGAGGUGAAAUUCGUAGAUAUCGGGAGGAACACCGGUGGCGAAUGCGGCGAUCUGGGUCGAUACUGACGCUGAGGUGCGAAAGCGUGGGGAGCAAACAGG